UCCUGUGCUUUUGCCCUCCAGCCUGCCCAGCUGGGAUGGUGGUCCCUGUCCUGCUCAUGUAAAGCAGCUCAAGACCCUGGGACUGCUCACCCUGCUGCUUUUGCUUUGUCUGUGGCCCAAGGAUGUUGGGGGCCAAAGGGAAUAGAAUCAUCUUGGAAGACUUGAAAUAAGAAACGUCACAAAAUUAAACCUCUCCCUCUGAGUAAUAAAAAUGUCACAUUUCUUCCAAUAAGCACAGCUAACAAAGCUGUGCAAUGAGCCCUUCUUGCUCAACUAGACAUGUAUUGAAGAUGACUGCAGAGCAGUGCUCAUUACAACUCUGAUUACUGUUUCUACUUCUCAUUUUGAGUAGUGAAACAAAGGAGUGUGUAUAUAUCCAGCUACUUUAACUGAGUUACUGCCAGAGCUGUAAAUAACUUGCUUCUCUCAGUAGUCUUCCCCAUUUUAAUGAGAAAUUGUUUGUCACAUGAUUUAAAGCAAGCAAUUAAAGGAAAUAAACAGCUUUCCAAACAAA